UGGGGUUGUAGCUCAGUUGGUAGAGUGUGUGCCUCGAAAGCACAAGGUCCUGGGUUCAAUCUCCAGCGCCGCAA